rnacentral:tRNA from 1 species
GCGCUCAUAGCUCAGUUGGAUAGAGUUGCAGACUUCGAAUCUGAAGGUCGGGGGUUCGAUUCCCUCUGGGCGCACCA